rnacentral:rRNA from 1 species
UAAUACGGAGGAUCCAAGCGUUAUCCGGAUUUAUUGGGUUUAAAGGGUGCGUAGGCGGCCUGGUAAGUCAGGGGUGAAAGACGGUAGCUCAACUAUCGCAGUGCCUUUGAUACUGCCGGGCUUGAAUGUACUUGAAGUGGGCGGAAUGUGACAAGUAGCGGUGAAAUGCAUAGAUAUGUCACAGAACACCGAUUGCGAAGGCAGCUCACUAAAGUAUGAUUGACGCUGAGGCACGAAAGCGUGGGGAUCAAACAGGAUUAGAUACCCUGGUAGUCCACGCCCUAAACGAUGAAUACUCGAUGUUGGCGAUAUACGGUCAGCGUCUAAGCGAAAGCGUUAAGUAUUCCACCUGGGGAGUACGCCCGCAAGGGUG